rnacentral:tRNA from 2 species
CGGGCUGUAGUUCAACAGCAGAAUGCUGGUCUCACAUUCCAGCGGCGGGGGUGCGACUCCCUCCAGCCCGA